UCCGCUCAUUUUUCGCCGAAAAGGUCGAGGGAAAAGAAUUAACAUUUCUAUUUUUUUAAGCCCCACAUUGAAACAGGUGCUGUUUUAAGAAAAUACCUCCAUGAAACCCAAGGCUAAAUUAAAUAUUGAGUUAUUGCAACCCAGAUGACGUUCAAUUCUUGCAUUACGCUUCACCAUAGGAUAGAAAGGCCGAUCUCGUUUUUCUCUGGUUUUCAAUGGCGGGCCAUGUAGUUCGCCAUACUUCCGCUGGGAGGAUUGUUUGGAAGUUUGACGUGUUUUGACUUUUGUAUUUCUUUGUCGGUAAAACCAAUAAAUCAUCGUUUUUUUUUAUAAACAAUAACUACGAUAGCGAUUGCUUAUUAAGGUUACACUUAACUUGCGAUAGUAUAAGUAUAUAAUCUCUUGGUAAUUUUCAUUGUUAGAUUUAACACACAAAGGUUUGGAACUUAAAGGUUCUUGCUUGUGCAUUCUUGUUGUGUAAAACUCUGAGACUGAUUGAGACUGACUGAGAGACUGUAGACACUAAGUGUAUUUUCAUUAAAAUAUUUUCAUUAAAAUAAAUGUAAGUUGAUUACUUUUGUGGUUGAGGCUGUAGAUCUCGCAGAAGGAGUCAGCAUUCCCAAUAAAAAAAAUGGAAAUUUUUACAAGAGAUGAAUUCACAGAUGAGUUGUAGAGAGUGAGUUCACAUUUGAGCAGUCAGGUCCAAAUGAGAUUUUCACUUUGGUCUCCAUCAGAAUGAGACCCUUGAAAAUGCUUCAGCAAAUUAUGCCAAUCUGGAACAAUUAGUAAAAUUUUCUAGAGUUUGUUUUAUAACUUUACUGGAUACUGAUUCUUUACUUUCUUACAUUAUUAAACGUUACAUAUUUGAUGAAUCUCGAUUGCCAUCACCGAUACAAUCUCGUCAAACAAAAGAGAUGGAAUUCACACGCAGUUUGAUGAAUAUGAAUUUAUAUGCUAUAAUGAACGGUAAAUAAAAGGUAUUGGUUCAAUACGAA